GGGAUGACGGUACCCAAAGAAUAAGCACCGGCUAACUUCGUGCCAGCAGCCGCGGUAAUACGAAGGGUGCAAGCGUUACUCGGAAUUACUGGGCGUAAAGCGUGCGUAGGUGGUCGUUUAAGUCCGUUGUGAAAGCCCUGGGCUCAACCUGGGAACUGCAGUGGAUACUGGGCGACUAGAGUGUGGUAGAGGGUAGCGGAAUUCCCUGGUGUAGCAGUGAAAUGCGUAGAGAUCAGGAGGAACAUCCAUGGCGAAGGCAGCUACCUGGACCAACACUGACACUGAGGCACGAAAGCGUGGGGAGCAAACA
rnacentral:rRNA from 1 species